rnacentral:rRNA from 1 species
CACGUAGGGUGCAAGCGUUGUCCGGAUUCAUUGGGCGUAAAGGGCUAGUAGGCGGCUUAGCAAGUCGGGUGUGAAAUUUCCAGGCUUAACCUGGAACCGCCAUCCGAUACUGCUAUGGCUAGAGUCCGGUAGGGGACCACGGAAUACCUGGUGUAGCGGUGAAAUGCGCAGAUAUCAGGUGGAACACCGAUGGCGAAGGCAGGUCACUGGGCCGCAACUGACGCUGAGGAGCGAAAGCGUGGGGAGCGAACAGG